rnacentral:lncRNA from 1 species
UCGGGGGUGUGACAACUUCGAAAGGAAGAGGUGGAAAGAAGAGAAAGGUUGCCGGUACCCUUGAAGGCAUUCCUCUGAUCCAACAUCAGUUUGAGGAAUAUGUUGCUGAGAAAUUUGGUGAAAUCCGAGACUACGUAGGGAGCAUUGAAGAGAUUGAGGAAAAAUACUCGGACCUCCAACAAGUGGCGCAGCUCAAGGAUCACAAGAUUGCCUCCCUCGAGAAGGAACUCAAUGAAGCCAAGAAACAGGCGGUUGCAGCUCAGAUCAACGCUGACUACGAGAAGAAUGAGAUCAUGGAGGAUGCUAAAGUCUCCGCCGCCAUUGCCAUGUAUAAAACCAAGUUGCAGAUGGCUCUAGAAGCUUAGGAUCCUGAUUUUGAUAAGAGCAACUAGGACGUGGAAGGCUGGAAGGCUAGGCUGGCUGAGCUGGACGACGAAGAAGAGGCUGGUGAGGUUCUGGCAAUCGAGGCAACCAACAGUGGUAAGGAUCAGGGUGGCGGAGAAGCAGGUGGAGCUAGUGAAGCUGGUGAUGGUGAUGCAGCGAAGGCAUAAGCUGCAGCAAUGGGCGAUGAUGGAUAUUUCUAGAUGUGGCCUGUUAGGGCUGGAUUUUUAUGACCUAUGAUCCUUACAUGUGAUCCUAACAAGUGAUCCUUACUUCUUUGGCAGAUAGUGAUCCUCAGAGGAGCUCCAGGAUCAGGAUCACGGAUCAUCCUAAGGAUCCUCACACUAAGAUUGUUCUCUUUGGAUUAAAUGUUGUUUUGCAGGAAUUACUGAUUGGACUUGGUCUGAUGUAACACCUCGAAUUUUUGUGUCCAAUAAUGUGUUAACACGUGUCAAUUGUUUACACGUGGCAUUGGUAUUAAAUAAAGGACUAAUU